rnacentral:rRNA from 1 species
UACGAAGGGGGCUAGCGUUGCUCGGAAUGACUGGGCGUAAAGGGCGCGUAGGCGGUUUGUACAGUCAGAUGUGAAAUUCCUGGGCUCAACCUGGGGGCUGCAUUUGAUACGUGCGGACUUGAGUGAGGAAGAGGGUCGUGGAAUUCCCAGUGUAGAGGUGAAAAUUCGUAGAUAUUGGGAAGAACACCCGGUGGCGAAGGCGGCGACCUGG